rnacentral:rRNA from 1 species
UACGAAGGGGGCUAGCGUUGUUCGGAAUUACUGGGCGUAAAGCGCACGUAGGCGGACAUUUAAGUUGGAGGUGAAAGCCUUGGGCUCAACCCAAGAAUUGCCUUUGAUACUGGAUGUCUCGAGACCGGGAGAGGUGAGUGGAAUUCCGAGUGUAGGGGUGAAAUUCGUAGAUAUUCGGAAGAACACCAGUGGCGAAGGCGGCUCACUGGCCCGGUUCUGACGCUGAGGUGCGAAAGCGUGGGGAGCAAACAGG